UGAGCCUGCUCGCGAUAGCGGUGUGUCAUUCGACACCUGAAUCAACUGACACACCGCUAUCGCGAGCAGGCUCA
rnacentral:misc_RNA from 1 species